UACGUAGGUGGCAAGCGUUGUCCGGAUUUACUGGGCGUAAAGAGCGCGCAGGCGGUUGGAUAAGUCGAAUGUGAAAGCCCCCGGCUCAACUGGGGAGGGUCAUUCGAUACUGUCCGACUCGAAGGCAGGAGAGGGAAGCGGAAUUCCCGGUGUAGUGGUGAAAUGCGUAGAUAUCGGGAGGAACACCAGUGGCGAAGGCGGCUUUCUGGCCUGUUCUUGACGCUGAGGCGGCGAAAGCCAGGGGAGCAAAGCGGG
rnacentral:rRNA from 1 species